ensembl:snoRNA SNORD14 Small nucleolar RNA SNORD14
UCGCUGUGAUGACGAUUUUUCCUGCCAUUCGUAGUUUCCACCUGAGGUCAUGUGACCAAAGACGGCUUAAUACUUCCUUGGAUGUCUGAGCGA